AACGUAGGAGGCAAGCGUUAUCCGGAGUUACUGGGCGUAAAGAGCGUGUAGGCGGGCUGGCAAGUCUGGUGUGAAAGCUCCCGGCUAAACUGGGAGAGUGCAUUGGAGACUGCCAAUCUAGAGGCUGUCAGAGGGUCGUGGAAUUCCGGGUGUAGUGGUGAAAUGCGUAGAGAUCCGGAGGAACACCAGUGGCGAAGGCGACGACCUGGGGCAGAACUGACGCUGAGACGCGAAAGCACGGGGAGCGAACGGG
rnacentral:ncRNA from 2 species